rnacentral:lncRNA from 1 species
AUGUGCUGGUAUCCGGGGCAUGAUGCAUUCCUUCAUGAGGCUGCUGCAGUUUUUUGCCACUGCCUGCAGAGAGUCACCUUGCCCAGGCAGGAGCUAAUGCCCCGAGGUCUUCGGAGAGCUAUUUUGAUCAGCAAGGCCAGCCUCGCCCAGACCGAAUGCUGUUGCGAUUUGGAUGCCUCCUGUCUGUACGUGGCGAGAGCGAUGGAGACAGAUAGUCGAUGCAUCCAGCUGCAAGAGGAAGCAGUAGCUUAAGUCAAAUCAGUGUUUGUCUACUGAGCACCCGGGCUAAGGACACCUUCAGUCGGGAACAAGCAAGUAAAGCAUUGCCCUCGAGGAGUGUAUCAUCAGGCUGACUGUCUUGGACGAGGCUUUUUGGUGUCAGGGAACAGAAGGCCCCUUGGACUGGCUUAUGCAAAACCAAGGCUUCAUUAUAAGCAGGAAAAGGAAAGCUGCUGGGUCUCAGCAAGAAACUGAAACCAAGAACUGAGGUCAGCAGAUAGCAGUGUGGUUCUCCUUGUGGGUCCCGUCUCUUGCUGCUGCUUUUCCUCGGAGUUUCUACUUCAUGCUCCCUCCCUGCUGACACUGUGCGAGCUUAAGACCAGCUGAAACUGCUCAUCAUGCCUGUGAGAUCACCUCUUCCCUUCCAGGGGAACAGAGUUUUCACUGGGCACAAGGCUGUCUAGGGGAAGGCUGUGCUUCCAUAUGCCUCCCUUGCUUUUCAUUGCAACUGCCGACGAGGCUCUGGCCGAGGCGAUGCGGACAGAAGUGACAUAGUGGACAGCUGCCAGGUAGUGCUCUUACACAGAAGGGAGUGAGCGCCUCUCUUCCUUUUCCGUCCUUGCUGCCGAGGUGUGGCUGAGGAGGGCAGAGCUGCAGCCAUGUCUUCGACCUGGAGGUGGAAGCUGCCAGUAGGACAUGGCAGAGAUGCUGGGUAGAGGGGGCUGCGGUGUCCAGUCACUCUGUGGAGCCAUCAGAUGAGCCUUGACUGCUUGGGUUCAGACCUUUUUAGGAAAGAGAAACAUGCUUUCAUCUGUUUAGCUGGUGUUCUGUUGGAUCUUUGAGGAGCCUGGAGCCUAACAAAUGAACCCGCUUUCUCUGCUUUUCUGAAUUGGAAAAUGACCACCUUACAGCUUCUAAGUUUAUAAGACCUAAGUUGAAAUGACCAACCAAGGGUCCCAUAACCCAAGCAAAAGACUCGACUGCCUCUUAGGGUCUUCUCAUCAGCAAAACUGAGCGGGGAGAGUUCUAGGAU